rnacentral:rRNA from 1 species
GCUUCUCUGAUGUUAGCGGCGGACGGGUGAGUAACACGUGGAUAACCUACCUAUAAGACUGGGAUAACUUCGGGAAACCGGAGCUAAUACCGGAUAAUAUUUUGAACCGCAUGGUUCAAAAGUGAAAGACGGUCUUGCUGUCACUUAUAGAUGGAUCCGCGCUGCAUUAGCUAGUUGGUAAGGUAACGGCUUACCAAGGCAACGAUGCAUAGCCGACCUGAGAGGGUGAUCGGCCACACUGGAACUGAGACACGGUCCAGACUCCUACGGGAGGCAGCAGUAGGGAAUCUUCCGCAAUGGGCGAAAGCCUGACGGAGCAACGCCGCGUGAGUGAUGAAGGUCUUCGGAUCGUAAAACUCUGUUAUUAGGGAAGAACAUAUGUGUAAGUAACUGUGCACAUCUUGACGGUACCUAAUCAGAAAGCCACGGCUAACUACGUGCCAGCAGCCGCGGUAAUACGUAGGUGGCAAGCGUUAUCCGGAAUUAUUGGGCGUAAAGCGCGCGUAGGCGGUUUUUUAAGUCUGAUGUGAAAGCCCACGGCUCAACCGUGGAGGGUCAUUGGAAACUGGAAAACUUGAGUGCAGAAGAGGAAAGUGGAAUUCCAUGUGUAGCGGUGAAAUGCGCAGAGAUAUGGAGGAACACCAGUGGCGAAGGCGACUUUCUGGUCUGUAACUGACGCUGAUGUGCGAAAGCGUGGGGAUCAAACAGGAUU